GAUGUUGACGGUGCAGAGCACAAAACAGUGCACACAAAGGACUGAUAUUCAAGAAUUGUGGCAGAAUCAACCCGGUACUCAGACGAGGGAAGAUCAAGAUUAAGUGAAAAGAAACACUUCAAUAGCCGCUGGAGCAUGAAAAGUUACGGCAUAUGUGCACAUUAUUGUAAAUGAUUGUAAAUAAUCAGCUGAUUUCAAUAAAAGUUACAUUGAGGGUGAAUGGAA